rnacentral:rRNA from 1 species
UGGGGAAUAUUGGACAAUGGGCGCAAGCCUGAUCCAGCCAUGCCGCGUGAGUGAUGAAGGCCUUAGGGUUGUAAAGCUCUUUCGCCGGUGAAGAUAAUGACGGUAACCGGAGAAGAAGCCCCGGCUAACUUCGUGCCAGCAGCCGCGGUAAUACGAAGGGGGCUAGCGUUGCUCGGAAUCACUGGGCGUAAAGCGCACGUAGGCGGAUCGUUAAGUCAGGGGUGAAAUCCUGGAGCUCAACUCCAGAACUGCCCUUGAUACUGGCGAUCUCGAGUUCGAGAGAGGUUGGUGGAACUCCGAGUGUAGAGGUGAAAUUCGUAGAUAUUCGGAAGAACACCAGUGGCGAAGGCGGCCAACUGGCUCGAUACUGACGCUGAGGUGCGAAAGCGUGGGGAGCAAAACAGGAUUAGAUACCCUGGUAGUCCACGCCGUAAAACGAUGGAUGCUAGCCGUUGGGGAGCUUGCUCUUCAGUGGCGCAGCUAACGCAUUAAGCAUCCCGCCUGGGGAGUACGGUCGCAAGAUUAAAACUCAAAGGAAUUGACGGGGUCAUAGCUGUUUCCUG